AGACACGAUGGAAAGCAGCCGAGUCAGUCGGAGGCUUUUGGACGCUCGACUGUGUGAAGCUCCAGGGACGGUUUCCACGACCACGAGGCUGCAGGAAUCAGCAUGAAUGGAGGUGCAGACGCUGGAUUGGCUGCUGUUCCAGCCAGAGGAGGGAGCGUCUACCUGUCCUGGAGGUCCUGAGGGUCAGCGUCCAGAUGGAUCCGUAAUCCCUGCAGCGUGUUCUGGUUCUGCCCUCGUCCGGCCGGAGGUGCCAAGAAAGCCUCCGAUCAGCAAACUACAAAUCUCCUGACAGAACAAGACAUUUGUCGUCUGGAGCCUGUGACAUUUCCAAGCGGCUGAUAUCCGGCGCUGACAACGGGAGUGCGUUCCCCUUUUUCGUCUGCCGGGGCGGCUCUCAGAGGUUUGGGUGUCGUACAGCAGGAACCACACGACGAGGCGAGACGGCACAGUCAUGAACCACGAUGCCAACCAGACUAAACACAUGCCGAGUGUCAGACGGACAGAC